GACGAACGCUGGCGGCGUGCUUAACACAUGCAAGUCGAACGGAAAGGCGCGGCGUUUGUGGGUUGCUCGAGUGGCGAACGGGUGAGUAACACGUGAGUAACCUCCCCUUGACUUUGGGAUAACUUCAGGAAACUGGGGCUAAUACCGGAUAGGAGCUCCUGCUGCAUGGUGGGGGUUGGAAAGUUUCGGCGGUGGGGGAUGGACUCGCGGCUUAUCAGCUUGUUGGUGGGGUAGUGGCUUACCAAGGCUGUGACGGGUAGCCGGCCUGAGAGGGUGACCGGCCACAUUGGGACUGAGAUACGGCCCAGACGCCUACGGGAGGCAGCAGUGGGGAAUAUUGCACAAUGGGGGGAAGCGAGAUGCAGCAGCGCCGCGUGCGGGAUGACGGCCUUCGGGUUGUAAACCGAUUUCGCCGGUGACGAAGCGUGAGUGACGGUAAUGGGUAAAGAAGCACCGGCUAACUACGUG
rnacentral:rRNA from 1 species